AUUGCCUGCACAUUCUUGUAUAUGUAGUUGCAAGAUGUUGACGGCGUGCACUUCUCCCCUAGUAGGACGUCGCGACCUGUUGGGUGUCGGUCUACGGCCCAAGUGAUAGCCUUUAAUGUAAUUUAAAAAUCAUUGAAGAUCCUUGGUGUUUUCUGACCGGCUACUUGGCAGUAUUCGUACGGUAUUUAGCCGCUAAAUUUAUUAAGCGUCCAUAUCCAUCACAAGCGAGGCCAAUUUACUGAUAGUACGGACCUAGUGCCGUCGUUGGUAUUGGCCAGCUGUUGGUUGAUGGUAUUCUAGGACUGGCUAAAAUUAAUUACCGGUCGGCGAUGCUACUGCUUUGGGUACUUUCAGGACCCGUCUUGAAACACGGACCAAGGAGUCUAACAUGUGCGCAAGUCAUUGGGAUUUUUUUAAAAUUAAACCUAAAGGCGCAAUGAAAGUAAAGGUCGACCUUGCGUCAACCGAGGGAGGAUGAGUUAUAUCAUGAUAUAGCUUCGCACUCCCGGGGCGUCUCAUUCUUAUUACAAGAAGAGGCGCACCUAG
rnacentral:rRNA from 1 species